rnacentral:rRNA from 1 species
CCUACGGGAGGCAGCAGUGAGGAAUAUUGGUCAAUGGGCGUGAGCCUGAACCAGCCAAGUCGCGUGAGGGAUGACGGUUCUAUGGAUCGUAAACCUCUUUUGUAAGGGAAUAAAGGGUGGGACGUGUCCUGUUUUGUAUGUACCUUAUGAAUAAGCAUCGGCUAACUCCGUGCCAGCAGCCGCGGUAAUACGGAGGAUGCGAGCGUUAUCCGGAUUUAUUGGGUUUAAAGGGUGCGUAGGCGGCCUUUUAAGUCAGCGGUGAAAGUCUGUGGCUCAACCAUAUACGUGCCGUUGAAACUGGGAGGCUUGAGUAUGUUAGAGGCAGGCGGAAUGCGUGGUGUAGCGGUGAAAUGCUUAGAUAGCACGCAGAACCCCGAUUGCGAAGGCAGCAUGCCAAGCCAUGACUGACGCUGAUGCACGAAAGUGUGGGGAUCAAACAGGAUUAGAUACCCCAGUAGUC